UGGGGAAUUUUGGACAAUGGGCGAAAGCCUGAUCCAGCAAUGCCGCGUGUGUGAAGAGGCCUUCGGGUUGUAAAGCACUUUUGUCCGGAAAGAAAUCCUUGGCUCUAAUACAGUCGGGGGAUGACGGUACCGGAAGAAUAAGCACCGGCUAACUACGUGCCAGCAGCCGCGGUAAUACGUAGGGUGCAAGCGUUAAUCGGAAUUACUGGGCGUAAAGCGUGCGCAGGCGGUUUGCUAAGACCGAUGUGAAAUCCCCGGGCUCAACCUGGGAACUGCAUUGGUGACUGGCAGGCUAGAGUAUGGCAGAGGGGGGUAGAAUUCCACGUGUAGCAGUGAAAUGCGUAGAGAUGUGGAGGAAUACCGAUGGCGAAGGCAGCCCCCUGGGCCAAUACUGACGCUCAUGCACGAAAGCGUGGGGAGCAAACAGGAUUAGAUACCCUGGUAGUCCACGCCCUAAACGAUGUCAACUAGUUGUUGGGGAUUCAUUUCCUUAGUAACGUAGCUAACGCGUGAAGUUGACCGCCUGGGGAGUACGGUCGCAAGAUUAAAACUUAAAUGAAUUGACGGGGUCAUAGCUGUUUCCU
rnacentral:rRNA from 1 species